ACACGUAGGGGGCGAGCGUUGUCCGGAAUUACUGGGCGUAAAGGGUGCGUAGGCGGUCUGUUAAGUCAGAUGUGAAAGACCCGGGCUCAACCCGGGAUGUGCAUCUGAGACUGGCGGACUUGAGUGCAGGAGAGGGAAGUGGUAUUUCUAGUGUAGCGGUGGAAUGCGUAGAUAUUAGGAAGAACACCAGUGGCGGAGGCGGCUUCCUGGACUGUAACUGACGCUGAGGCACGAAAGCGUGGGGAGCAAACAGGAUUAGAUACCCUGGUAGUCCACGCUGUAAACGAUGGAUACUAGGUGUAGGUAUCGUAGGAUAUCUGUGCCGGAGUUAACGCAAUAAGUAUCCCGCCUGGGGAGUACGGCCGCAAGGUUGAA
rnacentral:rRNA from 1 species